rnacentral:rRNA from 1 species
AACGAACGCUGGCGGCAGGCUUAAUACAUGCAAGUCGAGCGGGCACUUCGGUGUCAGCGGCGCACGGGUGCGUAACGCGUGGGAACAUGCCUUUAGGUACGGAACAACCAAGGGAAACUUUGGCUAAUACCGUAUAAUAUCUCUGGAUCAAAGAUUUAUCGCCUAAAGAUUGGCCCGCGUUAGAUUAGGUAGUUGGUGGGGUAAUGGCCUACCAAGCCGACGAUCUAUAGGGGGUCUGAGAGGAUGAUCCCCCACACUGGAACUGAGACACGGUCCAGACUCCUACGGGAGGCAGCAGUAAGGAAUAUUGGACAAUGGGCGAAAGACUGAUCCAGCCAUGCCGCGUGAGUGAUGAAGGCCUUAGGGUUGUAAAGCUCUUUUAGAUGGGAAGAUAAUGACUGUACCAACAGAAUAAGCCCCGGCUAAAUUCGUG